GUCUGUACGAGAUACUCGCUGCCGGCGAUCACAGUCGGUAGCCAAGCGAAAGCGAUAAGUUAUCCACCUGGGGAGUACGACCGCAAGGUCGAAACUCAAAGGAAUUGACGGGGGCCCGCACAAGCGGAGGAACAUGUGGUUUAAUUCGAUGAUACGCGAGGAACCUUACCCGGGCUCGAACGGUGCAUGAAUAUAAAAGAGAUUUUAUAGUCCUUCGGGGCAUGUAUCGAGGUGCUGCAUGGUUGUCGUCAGCUCGUGCCGUGAGGUGUAGGCUUAAGUGCCAUAACGAGCGCAACCCUUGUCGUUAGUUGCCAUCAGGUAAUGCUGGGAACUCUAGCGAGACUGCCACCGUAAGGUGUGAGGAGGGGGGGGGAUGACGUCAAAUCAGCACGGCCCUUAUGUCCGGGGCGACACACGUGUUACAAUGGGGGGUACAGAGGGCAGCCAUCCGGUGACGGAGCGCUAAUCUCCAAAACCCUUCUCAGUUCGGAUUGGAGUCUGCAACCCGACUCCAUGAAGUUGGAUUCGCUAGUAAUCGCGCAUCAGCCAUGGCGCGGUGAAUACGUUCCCGGGCCUUGUACACACCGCCCGUCAAGCCAUGGAAGCUUGGGGUGCCUGAAGUUCGUGACCGCAAGGAGCGACCUAGGGCAAAACAAGUAACUGGGGCUAAGUCGUAAC
rnacentral:rRNA from 1 species